GCUGUUCUAUGGGUCCAGUCUUGCGCUUGUCUCACCGCUUAUUAUUAUUACCACCACCGGCUAGUUAAGUUCCCGACCAAAACUGAGCCGGAGAUUAACGUUGAAAUCCCAAGCUUACCUUUGUUGAAGCAUGGCGAGAUCCCAAGCUUCCUUCACCCUUCAUCUCCCUUUGCAGCUUAUGGAGAAGUCAUUUUAGACCAGCUCAAGCGACUUGUAAGCCACAAGCCUCUCUUUGUUUUCAUAGACACUUUUCAAGAACUCGAAAAAGAGAUCGUCGACCACAUGUCUAACCUCUGUCCUCAAGUCAAGUUUAGCCCUCUCGGUCCUCUCUUCAAGAUGGCUCAAACUAUAAGCUCUGACGUUAAGGGAGACAUCUCCGCGCCAGCGAGUGACUGCAUGGAGUGGCUCGACUCGAGAGAACCAUCCUCAGUCGUUUAUAUCUCCUUUGGCACUAUAGUCCACUUGAAGCAAGAGCAGUUCGAGGAGAUCGCUCAUGGUGUUUUGAGCUCUGGUUUGUCCUUCUUAUGGGUGGUCCGGCCUCCUAUGGAAGGUUCAAGUGUGAAACCAUAUGUAUUGCCUCGUGAGCUUGAAGAGAAAGGGAAAAUCGUUGAAUGGUGUUCACAAGAGAGAGUGUUGGCUCAUCCUGCGGUUGCUUGCUUCUUAAGUCACUGCGGAUGGAACUCGACAAUGGAGGCUUUGUCUUCGGGAGUUCCCAUGGUCUGUUUUCCGAUGUGGGGAGAUCAGGUGACUGAUGCUGUGUACUUGGUUGAUGUUUUCAAGACAGGAGUGAGACUUGGCCGCGGAGCGGCUGAGGAGAAGAUUGUUCCGAGGGAGGUUGUGUCGGAGAAGUUGCUUGAGGCCACCGUUGGGAAAAAGGCGGUGGAGAUUAGAGAAAGCGCACGGAGGUGGAAGGAAGAAGCGGAGGCAGCCGUGGCGUUCGGUGGAUCAUCGGAUAGGAAGUUUCAAGAGUUUGUGGACGAGUUGAUUACGAAAUCUGUUGCGAGAAAAGACAACGGAGAAUACUCAUGAUGAUGUCACGUAAUAGUCCAAAUUGUUGAUGUAACUCCGAAACCUAGACACCACUACGGUAUGUCAGUAUUCAUAUUAUCUUUUUUCUUUUUCCUUUUGGGUAAAUAACACAUCAAAUCCCAUCUCAUGCUCUAGUGAUGUCGAUCUAUCAAUUUUUACAUUCUAUUUCAUCACUUCGAGCCACAAGCACUUAGAUUUUUAAAACCAUUUUGAUGCAUUAAACUAAUGUCGCCAUAUGGCUUUAAGGUCAUUUAGUAUUGGGCAAUUAUCAAUAAUAGUACAUUUUGAGUUUUUGUCUCAAAAUAGCAUUAGAAGGAGAAAGUCACAAAAAUGACAUUCAUUUAAAGAGUAAAAUAUCUCUAAUACCAUUAGUUUAGAAUUAAAUAAACAAAAAAAAAUAAAAUAAAAAAUAAAAUAAAAAAAAUGGAAAAAAAUAAAACUUUUUUGUAUAGUUUCAGAUUAUAUGUUUUCAGAUUCGAAAUUUUUUAUAAUUUUUUUUGAAAUUAUUUUUUUCGAAUUUUAUUUUUAUUUUUUUUUCAAAUUUUCUUUUUAUAAUUCAAAAAUAAUUUUUGAAACUGUUUUUAAAAUUUAUAUUUUUAAUUUUUUAGUAUUUAUUUUUUAUUUUAUAAAAUUUUAAACCCUAAUUCCAAAACCCACUCCUUAACUCUAAACCCUAAGGUUUGGAUUAAUUAACCCAAAGGGUAUAAGUGUAUAUUUAUUUACCUCUUUAAUGAAAUAUAUUUUUGUGACUUUGAGCUUUGAUUGCUAGUUUAGGAACAAAAACUUGGUUUGAUGCUAUCCUAGUAUUUUUCUCUAUAAAAUAACUUCUUAUUCAUUAAUCUUUGUUUUUUUACUAAUCAAAAAUUAUGUCAUAAAAAAACUUUUGGAAACUUAUAAUAAAAUUUAUAGAAUCAACACAAUCUCAAUAAUCUUCUAAGAUUAUACAAUAUCAAGACUUUGAUAUUCAAACUAUUUAAAAUAAAAAGAUUAUUGCCAGCUUGUCUCAGACGGAGACGUAUGCAAAGCUUCUAUUUAAUCCGAAAAUUGAGAUAGAUGGAGAGACGAACAUAAGAAUAUAUAUAGCAGAAAAGAUUAGAUAGGAAUUAUCGAAAUUGAAGGUUUUAAAGAACAAGGAUAGGUUUCAACUUGUCUGACAAUAAACUUUACGUGUAACUAUAGUUAAUCCGAAAAUUGAAAAAAGAAAACAAAAAAGACCGAUAAAUUACUAUAGGGUUAAAAUCGUCCAAUAAAUAUCGAUAAUAACGGAGAAGUAAGUCGAUGGGUAUUGAGCUAAAUAGGGUAAAGUGCUAAUGUGUGGAGUGCAAUUUCUCAAAAUAAAAUCAGUUUCUACUUUCUAGUUUCCAUAAGGAAAAUAAAAAUCGAUGGAACCGUCUCUUGAGCAUGUGAUGCUCGUAUCUUUCCCAGGCCAAGGGCACAUAAACCCUCUACUUCGUCUCGGAAAGCUCAUAGCUUCGAAAGGCCUACUGGUCACCUUUGUCACCACAGAGCAGCCAUGGGGAGAGAAGAUGCGUCAAGCCAACAAGAUUCAAGACGGCGUGCUCAAACCGGUCGGUUUAGGUUUCCUCCGGUUCGAGUUCUUCAACGAUGGGUUAGCCGACGAUGACGAAAAAAGAACCAACUUCCAAGCCUUCCGACCACACCUUGAACUUGUCGGAAAACGGGAGAUCAAGAACCUCAUCAGGAGAUACGAGCAAGAGGAAAAGCAACCUGUGAGGUGUCUUAUAAACAACGCUUUUGUGCCGUGGGUGUGUGACGUGGCUGAUGAGCUUCAUAUCCCUUCGGCUGUUCUAUGGGUCCAGUCUUGCGCUUGUCUCACCGCUUAUUAUUAUUACCACCACCGGCUAGUUAAGUUCCCGACCAAAACUGAGCCGGAGAUUAACGUUGAAAUCCCAAGCUUACCUUUGUUGAAGCAUGGCGAGAUCCCAAGCUUCCUUCACCCUUCAUCUCCCUUUGCAGCUUAUGGAGAAGUCAUUUUAGACCAGCUCAAGCGACUUGUAAGCCACAAGCCUCUCUUUGUUUUCAU
rnacentral:lncRNA from 1 species